rnacentral:rRNA from 1 species
UACAGAGGGUGCGAGCGUUGUCCGGAAUCACUGGGCGUAAAGGGCGCGUAGGUGGUGGCUUAAGCGUGCGGUGAAAGCUCGGAGCUCAACUCCGAGUCGGCCGUGCGAACUGGGCUCACUGGAGCAUAGUAGAGGCAGGUGGAAUUCCGGGUGUAGCGGUGGAAUGCGUAGAGAUCCGGAAGAACACCGGUGGCGAAGGCGGCCUGCUGGGCUAUGGCUGACACUGAGGAGCGACAGCGUGGGGAGCAAACAGG